UCUGGUUGAUCCUGCCAGUAGUCAUAUGCUUGUCUCAAAGAUUAAGCCAUGCAUGUCUAAGUACAAGCCUAACUAAGGUGAAACCGCGAAUGGCUCAUUAAAUCACACCUAAUGUACUGGAUAGUCUCAGUUACUUGGAUAACUGCGGUAAUUCUGGAGCUAAUGCAUGCGCACAAGCCCCGACUCACGGAGGGGCGCUUUUAUUAGAUCAAAACCAAACGGCCUCGUGCCGUCUUCCUGGUGAUUCUGAAUAACUUUGGGCCGAUCGCAUGGCCUUGAGCCGGCGACGUAUCCUUCCAAGGUGUGCCUCAUCAWCWU
rnacentral:rRNA from 1 species